AACGAACGCUGGCGGCGCGCCUAAUACAUGCAAGUCGAGCGAGAAGACGUAGCAAUACGUUUGUAAAGCGGCGAACGGGUGAGGAAUACAUGGGUAACCUACCCUCGAGUGGGGAAUAACUAGCCGAAAGGUUAGCUAAUACCGCGUACGCUCCUUGGACUUCAGUUCAGGGAGGAAAGCGAUACCGUGGGUAUCGCGCUCUUGGAUGGGCUCAUGUCCUAUCAGCUUGUUGGGAGGUAACGGCUCACCAAGGCUUCGACGGGUAGCUGGUCUGAGAGGACGAUCAGCCACACUGGCACUGCGACACGGGCCAGACUCCUACGGGAGGCAGCAGUAAGGAAUAUUGCGCAAUGGGCGAAAGCCUGACGCAGCGACGCCGCGUGGGGGA
rnacentral:rRNA from 1 species